UCCCUUUGUGUAUAUCAUGUGUUCCUCCCUUUCCAUCUAGGGCGCGUCGCUGAUUGGAUUUCCCAGGUAUGUUUUCCGUUAAGAUCCCUUUGUGUAUAUCAUGUGUUCCUCCCUUUCCAUCUAGGGCGCGAAGCUGAUUGGAUUUCCCAGGUAUGUUUUCCGUUAAGAUCCCUUUGUGUAUAUCAUGUGUUCCUCCCUUUCCAUCUAGGGCACGAAGCUGAUUGGAUUUCCCAGGUAUGUUUUCCGUUAAGAUCCCUUUGUGUAUAUCAUGUGUUCCUCCCUUUCCAUCUAGGGCGCG
rnacentral:lncRNA from 1 species